AACGAACGCUGGCGGCAUGCCUAACACAUGCAAGUCGAACGAACCCUUCGGGGUUAGUGGCGNACGGGUGCGUAACGCGUGGGAACCUGCCUUUUGGUUCGGAAUAACAGUGAGAAAUUACUGCUAAUACCGGAUAAUGUCUUCGGACCAAAGAUUUAUCGCCAUUAGAUGGGCCCGCGUAAGAUUAGCUAGUUGGUGGGGUAAAGGCCUACCAAGGCGACGAUCUUUAGCUGGUCUGAGAGGAUGAUCAGCCACACUGGGACUGAGACACGGCCCAGACUCCUACGGGAGGCAGCAGUGGGGAAUAUUGGACAAUGGGCGAAAGCCUGAUCCAGCAAUGCCGCGUGAGUGAUGAAGGCCUUAGGGUUGUAAAGCUCUUUUACCCGAGAUGAUAAUGACAGUAUCGGGAGAAUAAGCUCCGGCUAACUCCGUG
rnacentral:rRNA from 1 species